rnacentral:rRNA from 1 species
UUGAACGCUGGCGGCAGGCUUAACACCUGCCAGUCGAGCGGUAGCACAGGGGAGCUUGCUCCCUGGGUGACGAGCGGCGGCCGGGUGAGUAAUGUCUGGGAAACUGCCUGAUGGAGGGGGAUAACUACUGGAAACGGUAGCUAAUACCGCAUAACGUCGCAAGACCAAAGAGGGGGACCUUCGGGCCUCUUGCCAUCAGAUGUGCCCAGAUGGGAUUAGCUAGUAGGUGGGGUAAUGGCUCACCUAGGCGACGAUCCCUAGCUGGUCUGAGAGGAUGACCAGCCACACUGGAACUGAGACACGGUCCAGACUCCUACGGGAGGCAGCAGUGGGGAAUAUUGCACAAUGGGCGCAAGCCUGAUGCAGCCAUGCCGCGUGUGUGAAGAAGGCCUUCGGGUUGUAAAGCACUUUCAGCGAGGAGGAAGGUGGUGAGCUUAAUACGUUCAUCAAUUGACGUUACUCGCAGAAGAAGCACCGGCUAACUCCGUG